rnacentral:rRNA from 1 species
UACAGAGGGUGCAAGCGUUAGUCGGAGUUACUGGGCGUAAAGGGCGUGUAGGCUGAUCUCUUAGUCGGUUGUGAAAUCCCCGGGCUUAACCUGGGAAUUGCAGUCGAUACUGGAUUUCUUGAGUAUGGUAGAGGAAAGUGGAAUUCUCGGUGUAGUGGUUAAAUACGUAGAUAUCGAGAAGAACACCGGUGGCGAAGGCGGCUUUCUGGACCAAUACUGACGCUGAGGCGCGAGAGCGUGGGGAG